AACGAACGCUGGCGGCAUGCCUAACACAUGCAAGUCGAACGAGACCUUCGGGUCUAGUGGCGCACGGGUGCGUAACGCGUGGGAACCUGCCCUUAGGUUCGGAAUAACUCCCCGAAAGGGGUGCUAAUACCGGAUAAUGUCUUCGGACCAAAGAUUUAUCGCCUUUGGAUGGGCCCGCGUUGGAUUAGCUAGUUGGUAGGGUAAAAGCCUACCAAGGCGACGAUCCAUAGCUGGUCUGAGAGGAUGAUCAGCCACACUGGGACUGAGACACGGCCCAGACUCCUACGGGAAGCAGCAGUGGGGAAUAUUGGACAAUGGGCGGAAGCCUGAUCCAGCAAUGCCGCGUGAGUGAUGAAGGCAUUAGGGUUGUAAAGCUCGUUUACCCGGGAUGAUAAUGACAGUACCGGGAGAAUAAGCACCGGCUAACUCCGUG
rnacentral:rRNA from 1 species